CUCAUAUGGGCAGACCACAUGGCUCAUCCGAAACAAAGGAGAAAAGAGUGUGAUUUCAGUUCCUGCAUUCCUGCACAUGCUCAGUACAUUGAUGACAGUAUCUUAGCUACGUGUAACUAACUAACUGAUACAACAUACACAUAUGCCACGUGGAAAUCUCGGCCUACUAAAUUUACAUUUCACUGAAAUUCCAUCACAUCCCCCCCUUUGAUGUCUCUGAUACAAAAUUAUUCCAG
rnacentral:lncRNA from 1 species